AUGAAUACCUACGAAUUCCACCUCCUUGACUUUACCCCCAAUGCCGUUCUGACCAUGGCAGUUUUCGCACAUCUCUGCGAAAACUUUGUCGGAGUCCACCCCAGUGUAGCUCUCUUCCGCCAUUUCUUUAUACCCCGAGUAGAGAGAGGAGAGCCUCUAUCCAGCGGAAUCGCCUGGAUCUCAAGGGCCGGCAAGAAGGAAACGUAUCUGGAGGGAGAAUUCCGCGGCAAGUGGGAGGAGUGGAGAGCAGACUGGUGCUGGAUUGACGAGGAGAACCCGCAGCCAUUCACCACCCGGCGCAAAAACCCAGUAGCACGCGGCAGCGAUUGGAGUGACGUGGCCCCGGAAGACGACAGGCUGAAGAUUGCUGUCACCCGGAUCCUGCGCCUCAGGCUUGCCGGGCUUACUACAGGCGCUGUUGGCGCAGACUUUCUUCGCCGCCGCAUCGCCCCCCUGCAGGAACGAGGGAGGCCCACUUGGGAGUUCAAGAAUGCGGCAGAUAUCAUGAGGCUGCGGCCGGGCCUCAACUACAACUUCACUGUCCUGGAGCUCCACGCGAUGCUGCAGGAGCUGUUCAAGUAUGACCUCCAACAUCCCGAGGUCUUCAGGUUGCUGGGGGGCGUCGUUCCGCUGUGCAACAAUUCCUCGCUCGACCGCAUCCGUGCAAUGAUGCCGGAGUGCGACUCGCACGGAAUUGUGCCAACUUGGCAGGAGCCCGCAGACGACGUCGUGCAGCAGUUCUUCGAUGACUUGGUGGAAGUGCCGAUCCGCUCCGACGAGAAGGAUGGCCUCACCCGCGACACCACCGAUGCGGAGUUUGCACUCAUCGCCACUAGGCUGGAAGAGGCGGCGGCAGCCGCGGCCGCGGGCGAAUUUGGAUUCACCGUGGAGGAGGCAGAUGCAGCAGAGGCGGCAAGCCGUGCCGAGCGAGGGGAGCCCGCCGGCAAGAAGGAGCUUGCCGGACGUGACGCUGAGCCAAGCGAGCCCGCCAAGGAUACGAGCGGCUCGCUGAACAUCAACUCUUCUUCCUCCUCAUCUUCAGGCAGCUCGCCGCAAGCAGAGCCUCCAUCCCCACCAAGAAGGCGUCUCCGCAAGGCCGGUGACGUGGCGGAGCGGCAAGCGGGUCAACAGUCGCCACGCCGCGUGACGCGCUCCACCGCGACAACCACCGUUGCUGCGGGAGCGCUUCAUGCGGCGACGGCAACUGGAGCGGAGUCUAGCCGGACCACCGCUUCAGUUCCUGCCGCUGCUCACGCCGCGCCGGCAGCCGGAGUGGAGUCGUCUCAGACCACCGCCACUGCUCCCGUCAAGCGGCCAAGGGAAGCUUCUCCUCCGCCUCCUCGCGCCGGGCGCGCGCCGGACUUCGACUUCUCCGCGUUCAGCUCCGACGAGGAGGAAGAAGAAGAGUAA
rnacentral:rRNA from 1 species